GAUGAACGCUGGCGGCGUGCCUAAUACAUGCAAGUCGAACGAACAGGCGAGGAGCUUGCUCUUCUUAGAUGAGCGGCGGACGGGUGAGUAACGCGUAGAUAACCUGCCUAUAAGAGUGGGAUAACUACGGGAAACGGGAGCUAAUACCGCAUAAUAUUUGGAACCGCAUGGUUCAUAAGUGAAAGACGGUCUUGCUGUAACUCAUAGAGGGACCCCCUCUGCUUUAGCAGGUGGGUAGGGUAAGGGCCAACCAAGGCAACGUUGCUUACCCGCCCUGGGGGGUUGUUGGCCCCCCCGGGACCGGGGCCCGGGCCCAGCCUCCUAGGGGAGGCGCCGGUGGGGAAUCUUCGGCAAUGGGCGAAAGCCUGACGGAGCACGGCGGCGUGGGUGAUGAGGGUCUUCGGUCGGUAAGACCCGUUGUUUGGGGAAGAAGAGAUUGGGAAGGGACUGUGCACAUCGUGACGGUAGCUAAUCAGAAAGCCACGGCUAACUACGUG
rnacentral:rRNA from 1 species